rnacentral:rRNA from 1 species
GUUCACGGGAAGUGAAGGUAUAUAUUAGAUACAAAACCAAAGAGAGAGGGAGUGAUAAUAUUUGGAACAGAUCACGAGGGAGUGACGAGCCGAUCAAAUUUCUGCCCUAUCAACUUUGGACGGUAGUAUAGAGGACAACCGUGGUGAUAACGGGUAACGGAGAAUGAGGGUUUGAUUCCGGAGAAGGGGCAUGAGAAAUGGCCACUACAACCAAGGUAGGCAGCAGGCGCGUAAAUUACCCAAUCCUGACAGAGGGAGGUAGUGACAAUAAAUAACAAUGAAUUUAUGGAAAGUAAGUUGAAUUGGAAUGAGAACAAUAUAAAACCCUUAUCGAGGAACAAUUUCAGGGCAAGUUCUGGUGCCAGCAGCCGCGGUAAUUCCCAGCUGAAAAAGCGUAUACGAAUAUUGUUGCAGUUAAAAACGCUCGUAGUUGGAAAGAAUAAGUUUAUUUUUCUUUUUUGUCUUAAAAAAAAAAAUAAUUAUUUAAUAGAA